AUUGAACGCUGGCGGCAGGCCUAACACAUGCAAGUCGAGCGGAUGAAGGGAGCUUGCUCCUGGAUUCAGCGGCGGACGGGUGAGUAAUGCCUAGGAAUCUGCCUGGUCUUGGGGGCUAACGUCCGGAAACGGGAGCUAAUACCGCAUACGUCCUGAGGGUGAAAGUGGGGGAUCUUCGGACCUCACGCUAUCAGAUGAGCCUAGGUGGGAUUAGCUAGUUGGUGGGGUAAAGGCCUACCAAGGCGACGAUCCGUAACUGGUCUGAGAGGAUGAUCAGUCACACUGGAACUGAGACACGGUCCAGACUCCUACGGGAGGCAGCAGUGGGGAAUAUUGGACAAUGGGCGAAAGCCUGAUCCAGCCAUGCCGCGUGUGUGAAGAAGGUCUUCGGAUUGUAAAGCACUGUAAGUUGGGAGGAAGGGCAGUAAGUGAAUACCUUGCUGUUUUGACGGUACCAACAGAAUAAGCACCGGCUAACUUCGUG
rnacentral:rRNA from 1 species